AUUGAACGCUGGCGGCAUGCCUAACACAUGCAAGUCGAACGGCAGCACGGCAGUAGCAAUACUGUGGGUGGCGAGUGGCGGACGGGUGAGGAAUACGUCGGAAUCUGCCCAGUCGUGGGGGAUAACUAGCCGAAAGGUUAGCUAAUACCGCAUACGACCGAGAGGUGAAAGCGGGGGACCGGCAAGGCCUCGCGCGAUUGGAUGAGCCGACGUCGGAUUAGCUAGUUGGUGGGGUAAAGGGCCCACCAAGGCGACGAUCCGUAGCUGGUCUGAGAGGAUGAUCAGCCACACUGGAACUGAGACACGGUCCAGACUCCUACGGGAGGCAGCAGUGGGGAAUAUUGGACAAUGGGCGGCAAGCCUGAUCCAGCAAUGCCGCGUGUGUGAAGAAGGACCUCGUGUAGUA
rnacentral:rRNA from 1 species